rnacentral:rRNA from 1 species
AUUGAACGCUGGCGGCAUGCCUUACACAUGCAAGUCGAACGGUAACAGGUCUUCGGAUGCUGACGAGUGGCGAACGGGUGAGUAAUACAUCGGAACGUGCCCGAGAGUGGGGGAUAACGAGGCGAAAGCUUUGCUAAUACCGCAUACGAUCUCAGGAUGAAAGCAGGGGACCGCAAGGCCUUGCGCUCACGGAGCGGCCGAUGGCAGAUUAGGUAGUUGGUGGGAUAAAAGCUUACCAAGCCGACGAUCUGUAGCGGGUCUGAGAGGACGACCAGCCACACUGGGACUGAGACACGGCCCAGACUCCUACGGGAGGCAGCAGUGGGGAAUUUUGGACAAUGGGCGCAAGCCUGAUCCAGCCAUGCCGCGUGCAGGAUGAAGGCCUUCGGGUUGUAAACUGCUUUCGUACGGAACGAAAAGACUCCUUCUAAUAAAGGGGGUCCAUGACGGUACCGUAAGAAUAAGCACCGGCUAACUACGUGCCAGCAGCCGCCGUAAGAC